AGGUCCAGCCUGCCCAGUGACUACGGGUUCAACGGCCGCGGUAUUUUGACCGUGCAAAGGUAGCGCAAUCACUUGUCUCUUAAAUAGAGACCUGUAUGAAUGGCUAGACGAGGGCUUAACUGUCUCCCCCCUCCAGUCAGUGAAAUUGAUCUAUCCGUGCAGAAGCGGGUAUAAUUAUACAAGACGAGAAGACCCUUUGGAGCUUAAGGUACAAGAUUCAACCACGUUAAACGACUCUAUAAGAAGCAAGAACUUAGUGGCGAAUGAAACUUUACCUUCGGUUGGGGCGACCACGGAGGAAAAAGAAGCCUCCGAGUGGAUUGGGCCAAACCCCAAAGCCAAGAGAGACAUCUACAAGCCGCAGAACAUCUGACCAAAAAUGAUCCGGCUGAAAGGCCGAUCAACGAACCAAGUUACCCUAGGGAUAACAGCGCAAUCCUCUCCCAGAGUCCAUAUCGACGAGGGGGUUUACGACCUCGAUGUUGGAUCAGGACAUCCUAAUGGUGCAGCCGCUAU
rnacentral:rRNA from 1 species